AUGGCUGCUAAGCAAGUUUCAUGGACACCUACCAUGUCAAAGUUCAUGCUGACAUGGCUAAGUGAUUUAGUCUCCAAUGGCAAUAGAACAAGCACUGCCUUCAAGCAAUCACAGUUCAACUCUUGUGCCAUUGCUUUGAAUGAGCAUUUCCAACUUAACUUGAAUGGAGAUCAGAUAAAAAAUCAUAAUAGGACAUGGAAGAGGAAACUUCAGAAAAUAGUGAAACUCAAGGAGUUGAGUGGUGCACUAUGGGAUGAGGACAAGUGUAUGAUUGUUCUUGAUCAUGAGCAUUACACAAAUCAUGUUAAGGCUCACCCAGAGGAUGAACAAUACCUUAAAAAGACUAUUACUCAUUAUAAGGAGAUGGUGAAUAUAGCUGGAGGGAGCAUGGCUACAGGGCAAUAUGCAAAAGGCUCAAGUGACCCUCUUGCUACAAAAGUGGUAAAUCUUGAAGAAGAGACAUCCAAGAAACCCACUGCCCCAAAUGAGGAGGUUGCGCAAUCAACCAAUGUAGGUUCAUCUAGUCCCAAACCAAAGAAAGCCAAACCAAAUCCUUGUGUAGAAGACAAGUUGCACGCAACCAUACUAGCAUCUAGUGAAAGAAUUGCUAUUGCGAUAGAGAAGAGUACUAGCAGCGAGAACAAUGCCAUAGAUGGUCUUUGGGAGAGCAUGAAAGUACUUCCUGGUUUCAGUUUGGAUCACCUUGCUCAUUACUAUGCAUAUUUGGUUGAUAAUCCUCGUGUUGCUAUGGCAUUCAAGGUGUUAGAAGAGGAUCAAAGGAAGGUUUGGGUUUCUAGGUAUGUCAAGAGUACCUUCCCUGAAGCGUAA
rnacentral:rRNA from 1 species